GAGAGUAAAAUAGUACGUGAAAUUGUUGAAAGGGAAACGAUUGAAGCCAGUCGUACCUUCGGGUAAUCAGCCUUUCGGGUGCGAUUCUGUGGAGUGUGAGGAGCUUAAACACCUUCAUGUUUUGCAUAUUCGUACUCUUGGGUGUACUUGUCCGUGUGGUUGGUUAACAUCAAUUUUGGUGGUCAUAAAAUGACUGGGGGAAUGUAGCUUCGAUCUUGUAUUGAAGUGUUAUAGCCUUCGGUAGAUGUGAUGAUCGAGAUUGAGGAUUGCAACGGAUACCCUUUGGGGCUACCUGUCUGAUCUCUGAUCGUUGCUUUGGUGCCGAAAGCUUGCUUACGGUUAUCAAAGUCGAUGGUCAAUAGGUUAGAACGGGUUAAAUUCGUUAAGGAUGUUGACGUAAUGGCUUUAAACGA
rnacentral:rRNA from 1 species